rnacentral:rRNA from 1 species
UCCUCCAAGGCUAAAUACUCCUGACUGACCGAUAGUGAACCAGUACCGUGAGGGAAAGGCGAAAAGAACCCCGGCGAGGGGAGUGAAAAAGAACCUGAAACCGUGUACGUACAAGCAGUGGGAGCACAGAGCAAUCUGUGUGACUGCGUACCUUUUGUAUAAUGGGUCAGCGACUUAUAUUCUGUAGCAAGGUUAACCGAAUAGGGGAGCCGAAGGGAAACCGAGUCUUAACUGGGCGUUAAGUUGCAGGGUAUAGACCCGAAACCCGGUGAUCUAGCCAUGGGCAGGUUGAAGGUUGGGUAACACUAACUGGAGGACCGAACCGACUAAUGUUGAAAAAUUAGCGGAUGACUUGUGGCUGGGGGUGAAAGGCCAAUCAAACCGGGAGAUAGCUGGUUCUCCCCGAAAGCUAUUUAGGUAGCGCCUCGUGAAUUCAUCUCCGGGGGUAGAGCACUGUUUCGGCAAGGGGGUCAUCCCGACUUACCAACCCGAUGCAAACUGCGAAUACCGGAGAAUGUUAUCACGGGAGACACACGGCGGGUGCUAACGUCCGUCGUGAAGAGGGAAACAACCCAGACCGCCAGCUAAGGUCCCAAAGUCAUGGUUAAGUGGGAAACGAUGUGGGAAGGCCCAGACAGCCAGGAUGUUGGCUUAGAAGCAGCCAUCAUUUAAAGAAAGCGUAAUAGCUCACUGGUCGAGUCGGCCUGCGCGGAAGAUGUAACGGGGCUAAACCAUGCACCGAAGCUGCGGCAGCGACGCUGAUGCGUUGUUGGGUAGGGGAGCGUUCUGUAAGCCUGUGAAGGUGUGCUGUGAGGCAUGCUGGAGGUAUCAGAAGUGCGAAUGCUGACAUAAGUAACGAUAAAGCGGGUGAAAAGCCCGCUCGCCGGAAGACCAAGGGUUCCUGUCCAACGUUAAUCGGGGCAGGGUGAGUCGACCCCUAAGGCGAGGCCGAAAGGCGUAGUCGAUGGGAAACAGGUUAAUAUUCCUGUACUUGGUGUUACUGCGAAGGGGGGACGGAGAAGGCUAUGUUGGCCGGGCGACGGUUGUCCCGGUUUAAGCGUGUAGGCUGGUUUUCCAGGCAAAUCCGGAAAACUAAGGCUGAGGCGUGAUGACGAGGCACUACGGUGCUGAAGCAACAAAUGCCCUGCUUCCAGGAAAAGCCUCUAAGCAUCAGGUAACAUCAAAUCGUACCCCAAACCGACACAGGUGGUCAGGUAGAGAAUACCAAGGCGCUUGAGAGAACUCGGGUGAAGGAACUAGGCAAAAUGGUGCCGUAACUUCGGGAGAAGGCACGCUGAUAUGUAGGUGAAGUCCCUCGCGGAUGGAGCUGAAAUCAGUCGAAGAUACCAGCUGGCUGCAACUGUUUAUUAAAAACACAGCACUGUGCAAACACGAAAGUGGACGUAUACGGUGUGACGCCUGCCCGGUGCCGGAAGGUUAAUUGAUGGGGUCAGCGCAAGCGAAGCUCUUGAUCGAAGCCCCGGUAAACGGCGGCCGUAACUAUAACGGUCCUAAGGUAGCGAAAUUCCUUGUCGGGUAAGUUCCGACCUGCACGAAUGGCGUAAUGAUGGCCAGGCUGUCUCCACCCGAGACUCAGUGAAAUUGAACUCGCUGUGAAGAUGCAGUGUACCCGCGGCAAGACGGAAAGACCCCGUGAACCUUUACUAUAGCUUGACACUGAACAUUGAGCCUUGAUGUGUAGGAUAGGUGGGAGGCUUUGAAGUGUGGACGCCAGUCUGCAUGGAGCCGACCUUGAAAUACCACCCUUUAAUGUUUGAUGUUCUAACGUUGACCCGUAAUCCGGGUUGCGGACAGUGUCUGGUGGGUAGUUUGACUGGGGCGGUCUCCUCCUAAAGAGUAACGGAGGAGCACGAAGGUUGGCUAAUCCUGGUCGGACAUCAGGAGGUUAGUGCAAUGGCAUAAGCCAGCUUGACUGCGAGCGUGACGGCGCGAGCAGGUGCGAAAGCAGGUCAUAGUGAUCCGGUGGUUCUGAAUGGAAGGGCCAUCGCUCAACGGAUAAAAGGUACUCCGGGGAUAACAGGCUGAUACCGCCCAAGAGUUCAUAUCGACGGCGGUGUUUGGCACCUCGAUGUCGGCUCAUCACAUCCUGGGGCUGAAGUAGGUCCCAAGGGUAUGGCUGUUCGCCAUUUAAAGUGGUACGCGAGCUGGGUUUAGAACGUCGUGAGACAGUUCGGUCCCUAUCUGCCGUGGGCGCUGGAGAACUGAGGGGGGCUGCUCCUAGUACGAGAGGACCGGAGUGGACGCAUCACUGGUGUUCGGGUUGUCAUGCCAAUGGCACUGCCCGGUAGCUAAAUGCGGAAGAGAUAAGUGCUGAAAGCAUCUAAGCACGAAACUUGCCCCGAGAUGAGUUCUCCCUGACUCCUUGAGAGUCCUGAAGGAACGUUGAAG